GCCAUGUAACUUCGGGAGAAGGGGUGCCUCCUCACAAAGGGGGUCGCAGUGACCAGGCUUAAGUGACUGUUUAUCAAAAAUACAGGUCUCUGCAAAGUAGUAAGACCAUGUAUGGGGGUUGACGCCUGCCCAGUGCAGGAAGGUUAAGGAAGUUGGUGACCUGAUGACAGAAAAGCCGGUGACCGAAUCCCCAGAUUACGAAGAUUCGUUCGAACUCUAAAUUCAACAAUAGCAUAUGGCAUACUACAUGAACACU
rfam:Medicago truncatula strain A17 chromosome 4, whole genome shotgun sequence.